rnacentral:rRNA from 1 species
UAGUCCACGCCGUAAACGAUGUUCACUCGCUGUUGGAAAUUUAUUUUCAGUGGCUAAGCGAAAGUGAUAAGUGAACCACCUGGGGAGUACGAUCGCAAGAUUGAAACUCAAAGGAAUUGACGGGGGCCCGCACAAGCGGUGGAGCAUGUGGUUUAAUUCGAUGAUACGCGAGGAACCUUACCAAGGCUUAAAUGUAGAUUGACAGGGGUAGAAAUACCUUUUUCUUCGGACAAUUUACAAGGUGCUGCAUGGUUGUCGUCAGCUCGUGCCGUGAGGUGUUAGGUUAAGUCCUGCAACGAGCGCAACCCCUACCAUUAGUUGCCAGCGUUUAAAGACGGGGACUCUAAUGGGACUGCCGGUGCAAACCGCGAGGAAGGUGGGGAUGACGUCAAAUCAUCACGGGCCCUUACGUCUUGGGGCUACACACGUGCUACAAUGGGUCGGUACAGAGAGCAGCCACUACGCGAGUAGGAGCGAAUCUACAAAA